rnacentral:rRNA from 1 species
UACGAAGGGGGCUAGCGUUGCUCGGAAUGACUGGGCGUAAAGGGCGCGUAGGCGGACGGCUUUGUCGGGCGUGAAAUUCCAGGGCUUAACCUUGGGGCUGCGUUCGAGACGGGUUGUCUAGAGUUUGGAAGAGGGUCGUGGAAUUCCCAGUGUAGAGGUGAAAUUCGUAGAUAUUGGGAAGAACACCGGUGGCGAAGGCGGCGACCUGGUCCGAUACUGACGCUGAGGCGCGAAAGCUGGGGGAGCGAACAGG